CUGGGUGUAGCUCAAAGGCAGAGCUCUCGGCUUGGGACCGAGAGAUGCACGUUCGAUCCGUGCCACUCAGACCA
rnacentral:tRNA from 1 species